UGUUUUGGAAAACCAUUAGAGGUGAGCUCAUUGCUUACGUUUUAUCCUUUUUUUCAUCCUCUAUAAAUACCCCAAGUAUGCUGUCAUAAUUCUCCAUAGCAAGCAAGAACUCACAGAAAAGAAUACACAUGAAAUUAGCAAUGAAAAUCCUCAAAAACAUCCCCUGUUUUUGCACGCACCACCGUCACCACCGCAGCUCUGCCGCCGGCCAACCUGAUACAACCACCCUCAAAAUUUUCCGUUCUCCACCCCUGGUAUAUGCUCAUUCACUACUCACCCAUAUCAAGCUCGAAUUGUAGCAUUCCGUUGCCGAAACCGAACAUUAACUCACGCACAACCUCUUUUCUCUCUCUACAUUGACACAGACCACCACCGCCCAAACCACCGGCGAAAAACUUAUCCGACCACAUAACCACCUCCUUGUUGCCGCCUUGUGCUUCCUCUGCUCACCGUCAUUCGUGGGUCAUACGAGUCAUACCCAGUUGCUGCCUUCCUUCCUCCUUCCUCUUCUCUUGGUUCGUGUUCUGUUCGUGAAGACCAAACUUGGUCUUUCAACUUCCUAAAUUUUUGGAACUACUGGGCCUAUAUUCUAAGUCAAAAGGGUCAAACCCAAUAACAAUCAAGAAAGCCAAGUUGGACGAAUAUUCAAUUUUGGAGCUCAGGAAGAACGAUCCAUCGAACAGGAAGUAUAAACUACGGUUGAGGUACGAAGAAGAUCAUGGGAUGCCUUAGAGUGAGGAUGCAACCAUCAAAUUCACGAUCGAUGUUUAAUAAAGAUAACUAUGUCAUUAGUAAUAAAGGGAUGUAUUAAUUAAACUCUAAGUUUGAUUUCACGAUUUGAGUUAGAUUUUUAAAUUAAUGUCUAAACUUGUUAGAAAUAUUUAUUAAGGUUUACUUAGAUUUCAAUGUAAAUUUUAAAGAAUUAAUGGAAGUGA